rnacentral:rRNA from 1 species
UGGGGAAUAUUGCACAAUGGGGAAGACCCUGAUGCAGCAACGCCGCGUGAAGGAAGACGGUUUUCGGAUUGUAAACUUCUUUUCUUAGUGAAGAAGCAAGUGACGGUAGCUAAGGAAUAAGCAUCGGCUAACUACGUGCCAGCAGCCGCGGUAAUACGUAGGAUGCGAGCGUUAUCCGGAAUUACUGGGUGUAAAGGGAGCGCAGGCGGGACUGCAAGUUGGAUGUGAAAUACCGCAGCUUAACUGCGGAGCUGCAUCCAAAACUGUAGUUCUUGAGUGGAGUAGAGGCAAGCGGAAUUCCGAGUGUAGCGGUGAAAUGCGUAGAUAUUCGGAGGAACACCAGUGGCGAAGGCGGCUUGCUGGGCUCUAACUGACGCUGAGGCUCGAAAGUGUGGGGAGCAAACAGGAUUAGAUACC